GACGAACGCUGGCGGCGUGCUUAACACAUGCAAGUCGAACGGAAAGGCCCUGCUUUUGUGGGGUGCUCGAGUGGCGAACGGGUGAGUAACACGUGAGUAACCUGCCCUUGACUUUGGGAUAACUUCAGGAAACUGGGGCUAAUACCGGAUAGGAGCUCCUGCUGCAUGGUGGGGGUUGGAAAGUUUCGGCGGUUGGGGAUGGACUCGCGGCUUAUCAGCUUGUUGGUGGGGUAGUGGCUUACCGAGGCUUAGAAGGGUAGCCGGCCUGAGAGGGUGGACGGGGACAAUGGGACUAAGGGACGGACCAGACGCGAAUAGGGGGCAAUGGGGGAGAGUAUUGCACAAUGAGCGGAAGUGUGAGGAAGAGACGCCGCGUGCGGGAAGAACGCCUUGGGGGGGUGAACCGCUUUAAGCUGAGACGAAGCGUGAGUGACGUUAAUAGGUGAAGAAGCACCGGCUAACUACGUG
rnacentral:rRNA from 1 species